GACGAACGCUGGCGGCGCGCUUAACACAUGCAAGUCGAACGGAAAGGCCUGCUUUCCCUUGUGGAUUGCGGGUACUCGAGUGGCGAACGGGUGAGUAACACGUGAGUGAUCUGCCCCCAACUUGGGUAUAAGCCUGGGAAACUGGGUCUAAUUCCCGAUAGGACUGCAGGGUGGUGCCUGUGGUGGAAAACGAUUUUCUAGUGGUUGGGGAUGAGCUCGCGGCCUAUCAGCUUGUUGGUGGGGUAAUGGCCUACCAAGGCGGCGACGGGUAGCCGGCCUGAGAGGGUGGACGGCCACAUUGGGACUGAGAUACGGCCCAGACGCCUACGGGAGGCAGCAGUGGGGAAUAUUGCACAAGGGGCGGAAGCCUGAUGCAGCGACGCCGCGUGGGGGAUGACGGCCUUCGGGUUGUAAACUCCUUUCGACCGCGAGGAAGCCACCUGGUUGGAAGGGUGGUGACGGUAGUGGUAGAAGAAGCACCGGCUAACUACGUG
rnacentral:rRNA from 1 species